GACGUAGGGUGCAAGCGUUGUCCGGAAUCACUGGGCGUAAAGAGCUCGUAGGCGGGGUCUUGCGUCGUGGAGUAAAUUUUUCUGCUUAACGGAGAAAUCUUCCGCGAUACGGGGACUCUUGAGGACAGGAGAGGAAAGCGGAAUUCCGAGUGUAGCGGUGAAAUGCGUAGAUAUUCGGAGGAACACCGGUGGCGAAGGCGGCUUUCUGGCCUGAUUCUGACGCUGAGGAGCGAAAGCCAGGGUAGCGAACGGG
rnacentral:rRNA from 1 species